UUCUACACCUUUUUUUUGUUUUCUACUUCACCAUUUUUUUUAUUCUUUUCAACUUCUUCCUCACUCCACUCCCCAACUUCACCAUCAAUGCUAUCCUCUAUUUUUUUCUCCUCAUCUUUUUUCUCAUCCUCUCUUUUUUUACUCUCAUCUCUUUUUUCACUCUCACUAAUCAACUCCAUUCCACUUCUCGUCGUUAUCGCUUUACAAUGCUCUUUUGGAUUCGUUUGCGUGUUCGCCGAAAAAGAUGGUCCGGGUUGUUGUUCCG
rnacentral:lncRNA from 1 species